AUGACUCAUCACAGGGCUUUUUUACUACCUGCCUUAGUUAUUUUGGGGGGAGGGGGGUGCUGUAUUUUUAAUAUCUACACAAGGUAAAACACAAUGUUAAUUAUGUGGUGUGUGUGUGUGUGAGUUAGAGAGAGAGGAGCGCUUGCUCCGUGUGCGUCUGGCCGGGCUUGGUGCACGCUGACUCGGCCAGUGGACGCUGAGAACACAUGAUCAUAGAUAACGAUGCUACACGUUAGUAUCCCUGUGGACAGAGCGGCUGUGACAACGACAAGAUCGUGUUGUGUGCGCAGCAGCAGUGAACUUUUUCAUUCAUCACGAGUACGGUUAUUGACACAUUUUACUCGGAUUGGUUUUCGUGCUCGUUAAAGUUCAGUAUCUGUACCGGAUACUCGUUUCAUCCGAGUAUUCGGCUUAACCCUAGAGGAUAUGGAACUUGGAAUAAAAGACUAUAAACCAAAAGAUAAGAGUGAAAAGGGACAACGAAAAAGAGAGAACAAGAAAUCGUUCCCAAAACUCCAACCAAUCAUCACUGGACUUGCCUUAAACUAACUGAUCGGAGGCUAGGUAGGGCCCCGCCCACCCCGGGUAGAUUGCAGAAGUGUCUGAAUGUUACUGUGACAGAAAAUCUGUAAAUAACUGCUGCUACCUCAGUUAGCAGGGUUAGCUGUGUGUUAGCAGGGUUAGCUGUGUAUUAGCUGUGUGUUAGCAGGGUUAGCUGUGUGUAAGCAGUGUCCUACCAGGGUUAGCUGUGUGUUGGCUGUAGGUUAGCUGAGGGUUAGCUGUGUAUUAGCUGUGUUAACAGGGUUAGCUUUGUGUUAGCAAGGUUGGCUGUGUAUUAGCUGUGUUAGCAGGGUUAGCUGUGUUUCAGCUGUGUAUUAGCUGUGUUAGCAGGGUUAGCUGUGUGUUAGAGUGUUAGCUGCUCCUACAGUCAAAGCUCAUGAUAUCUUAGUUCAGUGCAGGUCUGAAAGCAGCUGAAUUCAGUUUGUUAAUAUGGUCGUUGCAGAACCACCAGUGAUCAUCACAGCUACCUUGUGUUUCUGCUGUUGUUACGUGUGCCUAUAUGUUUACAAAGUGGUUGUGGAGUGUCCUGAUGAGAGCGUUGUGCUCAGUCGGUGAGACGGUGUGAGACAGUGCGUGUGCACGAGGCUACGCACAGCGUGUCUGUACCUGGCGGACAUCAGGUUGUACAGCAGAGGGUUGAUGGCAGCACUGAGGCGGGAGAGGACCGAGGCAACCAGGAUAAAAAUCAACUGGGGGAGGAGUGCUCUGAGAAACAUAGCUCAUGGUCAGACCGACGAUGUAGGGCAGCCAGCACAGGACGAAGGCCAAGAAGAUCACUCCUGAUGGACAUGAGGAGAAGGACACAGGAAGUGGACAUGAGAAUCAUCAAUAUCUGCAGGUGAUAGAAUACAUGUCUCACACUGUUAAACAAGAGAGCUGUGUCUCAGUUCAGGGGCUGCAACCUUCAGAGGACACCUUCUACUCAACCCACCUCCUUCCUCGGUCAGGUAGACUGUGAAGGCUGAAACAAAAUGAGACCGUCUGGUCCACAGAGGAGAAGCUUGUCCUGUCCUUAAGUUGGACACGACAGAAAGCUUAAUGCCCCUUGGUUUUUUAACAUGUGAGCCGUUAGUUGAGUUGAUACGGUUCGUCACCAAAGUGCAAUGAGUCCUGGGACAUGUUGGACCUGGAAGGAUUCACUCAUCAGAGCUUUCUCUGGUAUGAAAGGAAGCAUCUGUAGGAGCCUUUCUACUCGUGUCGCUGUGAUGCAGCCCCUAAAUUGACACACAGCUGGAAAUAAAGAUGGACGACAUGACUGCUCCCCAAAAGUGAAGCCAAAGCAUCUCGAUUGCCCCCUGGUGGCUGGCUGCAGGUCCUACACCUUUCCUGCCUCUCUGAUGGUAACAGGCGGGACAUGGACCAAACUAAAAAGUCAAAAUACACGUCAAAUAUAUUCUCAAUGAUGGUUUAUAUCAUUUUAUUUGGUUCUUAUAAAACUGGUGAGUUUUGAUUAUCUAUUGGAUGAUACAGCUCCGACUCUGGCUCCAGAUGUGCAAGCCGAGAUGAAGACAAAGUAUUAAAUCUGUUCGUCAGCCUUUGUCAGUUGUAUUUAGUAAAAGCUAAAUUCAGAACCUAAGGGUGUGUGUGUUGGAUUGUGUUUCUCACCCAGCAUCUUGACUGCGUGUCGGUGACUCUUGUCUUUACGGCUGCUUUGUGGACGGAGCCUCAGAGUCCGUCCAAUCAGGAUGUAGACCAGUCCCAGGAUGCACAGGGGAACCAGGACAUACAGGUUGUAGAGAAAUAUCAUGGCCAACACGAGGCCAGAGGAGAAUGAGGAUUCUGAUACUCUGCACACUUCCUUUUCAACCUCUCUUCCCAUAUGAUCCACUUUCUCCACUUCCAUCAUGACCAAAAAUGGUGCUGCACUGACAGCCGCUCCCAGCCAGAGGCAGCCAAUCAGAGCCCUGGUUCUGCAACGUGUCACCAGCGUCAUAGCGGUGAUUGGCCAGCAGACAACCAGAUCCAUGACGGCUCAGGUGGGAGCAGGACGGAGAAACCUGCAGGGGAGAGGUGUGUGUGUCCCAGGUUCCACAGACCUGACGCACACUGAUGGCUUUCCUAUGACGCUCGAUCACAGCCAACACUGAGAGGAAUGGUCAAGUGCUGUCUAAUCAGACGAUGAUGUUGUACAACUCGUUUUGAACGAACUUGGCUGAAAUAUGAGAAAGCCAAUUCCCACUUGUAUCGUUAUUCAGCCCAAAGAACCUGUCUAAGUAGGCACUCUUCCAGUAAGGACUUCCAUGGAAAGGAAACACACACACACACACACACACACACACACACACACACACACACACAAUGUGAGGACGAGAGAGCACUCCACAUAUACUUAGAGUGAGGACUUCUAGGAAAGGAGACAUGCAAGCACAUAUGUCAGCACUGGAAACAAAGCUGUUUAUUGAGGUUUAUAAAUACUGAUACAGAUUUUGUAAUAAAUGGACUCUCUUGCACUGCGAUUCAGUCUCUGUGUUUUCUUCACGAGAAAUCUUCUCCAACAUGUGGCGAGCAGGUCCAGUCGUGGUAGAGGGACGCCUGCAGACUGCAUCUUGGGCUGGGUCGACGCUGUAAAGCUGCUGCAUAAAGCAUCUUGACUGUGUGUCGGUGACUCUUGUCUUUACGGCUGCUUUGUGGACGGAGCCUCAGAGUCCGUCCAAUCAGGAUGUAGACCAGUCCCAGGAUGCACAGGGGAACCAGGACAUACAGCCGCUCCCAGCCAGAGGCAGCCAAUCAGAGCCCAGGUUCUGCGACGUGUCACCAGCGUCAUAGCGGUGAUUGGCCAGCAGACAACCAGAUCCAUGACGGCUCAGGUGGGAGCAGGACGGAGAAACCUGCAGGGGAGAGGUGUGUGUGUCCCAGGUUCCACAGACCUGACGCACACUGAUGGCUUUCCUAUGACGCUCGAUCACAGCCAACACUGAGAGGAAUGGUCAAGUGCUGUCUAAUCAGAGCAACAGAAAAAACACACAGGAACAUAUUUAGAACCACAUAAACAUGCGUGUAUCACACUGUGAACUCUGAAUAAACACAUGUACUGCACAUAUUCACACUAAGAGCUGUUCUACACACAUGGAUGCACACAUAUUCAAUAUCAACACAAUAAAAUUCAACCUAUCAAAGAUUUAAUCCGACCUUCCUCACUAUUCUUACAUUUUUAAAUCACUCACGCAGAAAAGA